UACGGAAGGUCCGGGCGUUAUCCGGAUUUAUUGGGUUUAAAGGGAGCGUAGGCCGGCUUUUAAGUCAGCUGUGAAAGUCCGCGGCUCAACCGUGGAAUUGCAGUUGAAACUGGAGGCCUUGAGUGCACACAGGGGUGCCGGAAUUCAUGGUGUAGCGGUGAAAUGCGUAGAUAUCAGGAGGAACACCGGCGGCGAAGGCGGCCUGCUGGACCGCGACUGACGUUGAGGCUCGAAAGCGUGGGGAGCGAACAGG
rnacentral:rRNA from 1 species